UAGGGAAUAUUGGUUAAUGUGCGAAAGCGCGAACCAGCAACGCCGCGUGUGCGAUGAAGGCCUUCGGGUCGUAAAGCACUUUUUGCAGGGACGAGGAAGGACGGUACCUGCAGAAUAAGUCUCGGCUAACUACGUGCCAGCAGCCGCGGUAAAACGUAGGAGACGAGCGUUAUCCGGAUUUACUGGGCGUAAAGCGCGUGCAGGCGGCAUGGCAAGUUGGAUGUGAAAGCUCCCGGCUUAACUGGGAGAGGUCGUUCAAUACUGCCAGGCUUGAGAGUGGUGGAGGGAAGCGGAAUUCCGGGUGUAGUGGUGAAAUGCGUAGAUAUCCGGAGGAACACCAGUGGCGAAAGCGGCUUCCUGGCCCAUUUCUGACGCUCAGACGCGAAAGCUAGGGUAGAAACGG
rnacentral:rRNA from 1 species